GGACUAUGUCCUACUAGGCCCUUUAAGGAAAAAACUGGCAACCACUGCCUUAGAGCAAUGAGGGUCUCUACAGACCAAGCGUAUAUGUCUUAGGAAUAUGGAUCUCCUCAUCUUUAGUGUGAAAAACGAUGCUGACAAAUGCAGGAAAGGAAAUGGAAUGAUGGAGAUCCACUUUUAACAAUGCUGGUUUAUGUGCAGUGAACUUGACAGUAACUACUUUUUAAUUUACCGAUGCCAUGAACAGUCCAAGGAAAAAAUCCUUUUCUAGAUUAGCCGAUUUCACUGUAUUAAAGAUAAUUUUUAAUGUACAUCAAAAGACGUCAUCAAGAGAAUGAAAAGACAAGCCAUAAACUGGGAAAAGGUAUUUCCCUCAAAACCCACAAUGAGUAGAACCCAGAUUAUGUAAAGAACUCCUAAAAAUCAAUCAGAAUAAAAAAUAAUCAACUGGG
rnacentral:lncRNA from 10 species